AUUUACUACUUAAUAUUUUAAUUAUUCUUCCAGACUAAGUCUUCUAAAUCUUGUUUUAUACUUACAGCACAUCUCAGUUGGAACAGCCACAUUCAAAUGACCAAAGCUACCUGUGAUGGGUGGUUACUGUGUGAGGCAGUGCAAUUCCGGAAUACAGGAAGAAGUAUGUAAGACACUCUUUUUCCAGCUUAUUUUAGUCCUCCACUUACUUAACACUUUCCAAUUAAUUAAUGCUCAGAUCUCACAUAUGGUAUCUUUAACCUUUCACUUGACAAGAAGGCAAUUACCUAUUUUGGCAACACAUUCAGUGUCAAAUGAAUGUUUUAAACAUCAAAUGCCACCAGAAUUUGGAGAAAAGUCAGCAAGUCCCAGCAUAAUGAUACUUUCAUUAACCAGUGCUCCACCAACAAGGUGUGAUCAUGGACAAAUGGUCUAUGGUAAAACCACACCAAAUACAAGUUUUUGCUUGAGAAUAAAAGUAUUAACAAGAUUAAGAAAAAAUGACAUUCUGGAGCACUCAGCAGUGCAGAAUGGUUGCAGCACAGUCCAUCAAGUAAGCCCUAAGAAAUCUAAAAGAGAGUCUCCUAGGCUCUCCACACUGUUCAGCUGUGAGCAUGCAGUACAGUCAAGGUCCUGCCUGACUUUGGAUGACAGGCCUCGAGCACGGGAGAACAGGAAAGCCACAGCACAGCACAGUGUACUGGGCUAGGAAACCUAUGGAGCCUGGAAAGGUGGGUGGGAAAGACAGAAGCAAGAAGGCAGAUAGCUAGCUAGCUUCACGCUUUUUCCAUCCUUCUCUUUUAUGCCAAAUCAACCUGGGAAAAAACUAAUCUGGGAAAACAGCUGUCCCAGACUUACAGGCUGCUACAGUAUAGAAAACCUUACAUAUGAGGAGGCAUCGAAGAACCUUAUAUAGUUUCUCAAUCUGGACCCUGAUUCUGCAGUAUAAGUCUUUUCCUGGUCUUGAGAAAGCUGGGGCAUGUUCUAGACCAUUUGCCCUGAGGAGAAAGUAGAGUCAGUACCACCCCCUACUGGAGGGGGUGAACCCCCUGACAAGCAAUGAUUGGAAAAAUGCCAUGAUUUACACAACCACUAUUUCACCCUCUUCCGAAUAAAAACUGGAGGAACUCAGGCCUAUAUAAUAGGUGUAUUAAUCCAACACUGUCACUCAGUUAAAAAAAAUUUUAUAGCUCUAUCCAAACCCUAUUUAAAAUGGGAAAGAGAAAUUAGGCUGAAUGUGAAGAUUCUUUCAUCAGUUAGAGGCAUGUUUUCAUUUAAAAAUUUUUUUUGAAUUCAGUAUCAUCUCCAUUUUGUUGCCUUGAAAUGUGUUAUUCUGCUUUAUUCUUCUGACAAAUAUCGAGCACUUAUAUAUCAGGAGGUUCCUUGGAAUAUGUCAGAGAACAAAGACAAAACUCAUGGAGCUUACACAUUCUUACACGUAUCUUCUGCAUCAUUUAACUUCACAUUAUAAGGCUUCUACUGAUGAAUACUAUUAUUAAAUCACACCUUCAUGAACAGAGGUAUGCUACGUAUAUAUUAGUUAUUGAAACAUCUAAAAUUUUAAAGGGAACAGAAACUAAAUACUAUUGACUUGAGCAAUUCACCUUUCAGUGAGCUACUCAACAAAAACUGGAAAAGCCUGAAGUUAAUAAAGAAUAUGCAAUAACUCUA